GGGUACAGAACUUUAGGAUGCAUAAAGCAACCUUCAUGGAGCUAUGUGCUGAGCUGUCCCCCGACCUGCGGUGCAAGGACACCAGAUUGACAGCUGCCCUUCCGGUAGAGAAGCGUGUUGCAAUCGGUGUGUAGAAGCUGGCGAAUCCAGACUGCUACCACUCAGUUGCAAAUCAAUUUGAAGGGGCAACUUACCCGGAGACUCAUCUGCUUCCUG